CUUGACACUGAACACUGGUCCUUGAUGUGUAGGAUAGGUGGGAGGCUUUGAAGUGUGGACGCCAGUCUGCAUGGAGCCGUCCUUGAAAUACCACCCUUUAAUGGCUGGUGUUCUAACGUAGACCCGUUACCCGGGUUGCGGACAGUGUCUGGUGGGUAGUUUGACUGGGGCGGUCUCCUCCCAAAGAGUAACGGAGGAGCACGAAGGUUAGCUAAUCCUGGUCGGACAUCAGGAGGUUAGUGCAAUGGCAUAAGCUAGCUUGACUGCGAGAGUGACGGCUCGAGCAGGUGCGAAAGCAGGUCAUAGUGAUCCGGUGGUUCUGAAUGGAAGGGCCAUCGCUCAACGGAUAAAAGGUACUCCGGGGAUAACAGGCUGAUACCGCCCAAGAGUUCAUAUCGACGGCGGUGUUUGGCACCUCGAUGUCGGCUCAUCACAUCCUGGGGCUGAAGUAGGUCCCAAGGGUAUGGCUGUUCGCCAUUUAAAGUGGUACGCGAGCUGGGUUUAGAACGUCGUGAGACAGUUCGGUCCCUAUCUGCCGUGGGCGCUGGAGAAUUGAGGGGGGCUGCUCCUAGUACGAGAGGACCGGAGUGGACGCAUCACUGGUGUUCGGGUUGUCAUGCCAAUGGCACUGCCCGGUAGCUAAAUGCGGAAGAGAUAAGUGCUGAAAGCAUCUAAGCACGAAACUUGCCCCGAGAUGAGUUCUCCCUGAGCCUUUAAGGCUCCUGAAGGAACGUUGAAGACGACGACGUUGAUAGGUCGGGUGUGUAAGCGCAGCGAUGCGUUGAGCUAACCGAUACUAAUGAACCGUGAGGCUUAACCUU
rnacentral:rRNA from 1 species